AAGCUCUAUGCUUCCUGGCAGAGCUAUGUCAAUAAGGAGAAACUCAAUGGAUCUGGUCAUGUUGCUGGUGCUCACUCUCACCUGUCUUAUUCUCCUGUCAAUCUGGAGACAGAGUUCUGGGAGAGGAAAGCUCCCCCCAGGCCCUAUUCCUCUCCCAAUUAUUGGCAAUAUCUUUCAGCUAAAUGUGAAGAACAUUACCCAAUCCUUAACCAGUUUCUCAAAAGUGUAUGGUCCUGUAUUUACUCUUUACUUUGGCAUGAAGCCCACUGUGAUAUUGCAUGGAUAUGAAGCAGUAAAAGAAGCCUUGAUUGAUCACGGGGAGGAGUUUGCUGAAAGAGGGAGCUUCCCAGUAGCUGAAAAAAUUAAUAAAGACCUUGGAAUUAUUUUUAGCCAUGGAAAUAGAUGGAAAGAAAUAAGACGCUUUACACUCACGACUCUGCGGAAUUUGGGCAUGGGGAAAAGGAACAUUGAGGAUCGUGUUCAAGAGGAAGCACGGUGCCUUGUGGAGGAACAUGAGGAAAACCAAUGGCUCACCCUGUGACCCCACGUUUAUCCUGGGCUGUGCUCCUUGCAAUGUCAUCUGCUCCAUUAUUUUCCAGAAUCGUUUUGAUUAUAAAGAUCAGGAUUUUCUUAACUUGAUGGAAAAACUCAAUGAGAACAUGAAGAUUUUGAGCAGUCCCUGGACACAGUUUUGCAGUUUUUUCCCUGUUUUAAUUGAUUAUUGUCCGGGAAGUCAUACGACAUUAGCUAAAAAUGUGUAUCAUAUUAGAAACUACCUUCUGAAGAAAAUAAAAGAGCAUCAAGAAUCACUGGAUGUUACAAAUCCUCAGGACUUUAUUGAUUAUUACCUAAUUAAGUGGAAGCAGGAAAGUCACAAUCCACAUUCGGAAUUUACACUUGAAAACUUAUCAAUCACUGUGACUGAUUUGUUUGGUGCUGGGACAGAGACAACAAGCACAACACUGAGAUAUGCUCUUUUGCUCCUGCUGAAGUAUCCAGAAAUCACAUCUAAAGUCCAGGAAGAGAUUGAUCGUGUGUUUGGCAAACAUCGCAGCCCUUGCAUGCAGGACAGGAGCCGCAUGCCCUACACAGAUGCCAUGAUUCAUGAGGUCCAGAGGUUCAUUGACCUCAUUCCUACCAACCUGCCACAUGCGGUGACCUGUGACAUUAAGUUCAGGAACUACCUAAUACCCAUGGGAACAACAAUAAUAACAUCACUCUCAUCAGUGCUGCAUGACAGCAAGGAAUUCCCCAACCCAGAGAUAUUUGACCCUGGGCACUUUUUAGAUGGGAAUGGAAAGUUUAAGAAAAGUGACUAUUUCAUGCCUUUCUCAGCAGGAAAACGGAUGUUUGCAGGAGAGGGCCUAGCCCGCAUGGAGUUAUUUUUAUUCCUGACCACAAUUUUACAGAACUUUAAGCUGAAAUCUGUACUUCAACCAAAGGAUAUUGAUACAACUCCAGUUUUCCAUGGAUUUGCCUCUCUACCACCAUUUUAUGAGCUGUGCUUCAUUCCUCUCUAAAGAGAUCAAAUUGCCUGGCUCCUGAUGUGUUGUAUUUUCUCCCUUCAAAUAACUCCUAUAUUCCUCAAGAUUCAAGAAAUAUCCAUAUUGCAUUUUCCAGUUUCUGGAGUCACUGCUCACAUAUAUCUGCACUUCCAUAUUCUCUGUAACAGUCUCCCCAUCUCAUGUACCUAUGUAUAUCUAAAUUUGAGUUCUUACUGUGGUUUAGCUGUAGCACUGGUAAUUCACAGAAAUUUAUCUUCUUUAUGUUCUCAAAAAUAAGAUCUUUUGAUUGAGUUGCCUUUGUUCAGUGUUUCCUUACAAUUCAGGCUAAAACCAAAACACUAGAUUCUCAAUAUAUCAUUUUGUUCCGUAUAAUGAUAACAGAGCAUGUAAAGUGGCAGUUCUGGGGAGGAACAGGUUCCUCCUGUUGCCCUUUUCAUUCAAGUCUGAAGACCCAACCUUCAUCUUCAGUGCAUGUCUCAAAGUCAGUGCAUGUGCUCGUUAUACCAGAGUUUGGGAGGCAGGCACAGGAGGAUCCCUUGGGUUUCCUGGUCACCCACACUAGAUUAAUAGCCAUACUAGGGAGAUAAACUGUCUCGCAUAACAAGACAAGAUGUUUCUAAAAGAAACAGUACUAGUAAAAGUUUUACUUCUGGCCUUUACAUAGAUAUGGCGCUCUUCUCAAACAUGCAACUAGUCAUGCACACACUAUCUUCCCCUUUAACUAAUAUAAAAAGGAAUGUGAAUGGGAGAUUAGUAAGAAAGCUUUUUUUCCUGAAUGUUAAGUAUAGCCACUAGCAGUAUUUGUGUUUGAAACAUAUAAAUGCUGAUGAGAAACUGAAGUACUCUGUAGACAAAUAUAAUGAAGACAACUCACAGGGAGGAAUAAACAUGCAGGUUGUGCCAAGGUUUACUUUCAACAACACUGACAAAAGGCUCUUAGUACUUUUUCCUUUGAUUUAUUCUUUCUUCAUAUAGCAUCUCCUCACUGUAGCCCCUCCCCCAACAUUCCACUUCUUCAAGUUCCUCUACUACCAUUAUUCUUCCCCAGAUUCAUUGUUCUUUCAUUUCCCUUCAGAAAAUAGCAGGCCUUCUAGGGAUAUCAAGCCAACUUGGCAUUAAAAGGUGUGGCGAGAUUAGCUACAAAUCGUCAUAUCAAGGUCCUACUCGACAAGGAAGAGGAAAAUGGUCCAAAGAGUAGACAAAUGAGGCAGAGAUACCCAGACUCCUCCUGUUAGGAGUCCCCAAAACACUAAGCUAUGCAACCACAUCAUGUAUGCAGAGGACCUAAUGCAGACCCAUUUGGUCUUUGCUUCCAUCUAUGUGAACUGUUAUGGCUCUGAAUAGUUGAUUAUCUAGGCUGUGUUCUCAUGAUGAUUUUUUUUUGUAUACAUGUGCUUUUAGGACUGACCACUUGGUAUUUGUGCUAGUAAGAACCUUUUCCCAUGGGAUUUGGGUGCAGGAAACUGUGGGAUGUUCACUUCCGGGCAGAGCCAAAAACAGGAAGGGCUCUGACCCCGAGGAAUUCUGCCUCUGUGUAUCCUGAUACAACCAAGCAGGUCACUUGGUAGCAGAAAAGUGGGUCUUAUCUCUGCUCUCAACUGUGGUGGUGCUUCUGGGACUGUCUUCCAGCUCUAGGCGUGGGCAGGAAUUAAAGGGUCCUGCCUCUGAUUGCUCCUAUAGGUUCUUGCACCCAGUGGCCACAGAUGGCACUGUGCAAUUCUCUUGGGUCUGGACUGUGGGCAGAGGAUCUUCUCCUCUCACUUCUCAGAAGUAUCCACACUUCUGAAUGUCCAGCUCUCUCCCCCAUGGGAUAUUGGUGCAGGGAGUUGUUUGGCCAGUUCAUUAAGGUCCUGGGCACAGUAAAUUAAUUAUUCCAUUUGUUUACACUUCAAAUGGUAUCUCCCUUCCCAGUUAACUCACUAUACCACACCCAUCCCAUCUACCAUCUCCCCUCUCAGCUUUGCCUCCAUUAGGGUGCUUCCUACCCCAUCCACCCACUCCUGCUCCACCAUUCCAGCAUCCUCUUAUGCUGGGGCAUCAAAUCUCCCCAGUACCUCUGGCUUUCCCCCAUUGAUGUUAGAUAAGGCCAUCCUUAGCCAUAUAUGUAUCUGGAGCCGUGGAUCCUUCCCUGUACACCCCUUGGUGCUAUAAUUCCUGGGAGCACUAGGUAGUCUGGAUAGCUGAUGUUGCUCUUCCUAUGGGGCUGCAAUCCCUCUCUGCUACCCCAUUGCUUCUGCUGUCUCCCGUACCGGAGGCCUGGAGCUCAGUGUGAUGGUUGGCUCCAAGCUUCUACAUCUGCACUGAUCAGUUGCUGGCUGAACCUCCCAGUUAACAGCUAGACCAGGUUCCUGCCCCGCGCUACGUCUCGCCAGCAGGAACGACGCGGCACACACAGGAUCCUACUGCAGAAAAGCUUUAAUGCGUCUUGAGAGGGAGAGCAUAAGCUUACAAUGCGGAGACGCCGAGUGAGGAAUAACCAUCCCUUAUAUAGGAAACUAUCCUCGCCUAGGACGUGUCACUCUCUGACUGGUCGCUGCCAAUUAUGCCAGAUGACGUACCAAAACGUACGUGUCCCUUUGAGUAGGGAAGUUACCAGGUGCCUGCGUAUUGCCCUUUUUACUAGGUGCAUUCUGCCGGAUGCCGGUGUCAUCUUGUAAUGGAGUUUGUGAGGACAGCUCCUCACAUAUGUGAGGACAGCUCCUCGGACAGCUCCUCACAUCUGUGAGGACAGCUCCUCGGACAGCUCCUCACAUCUCACCCUUUUCUGUUUUUUUUUUUUUUUAAGCAAACAGGACACCCAGAUAUAGGAGGGCGAAGACAGAGGUCAUAUCCUUGUACAAAGUUGGCGAACCUGUACAAGAGAGAUACCCUUAGGCUGUUGUUGGGACCCAGGGCACUCCCGACCCGUCGCACUGCCAUUUUUCGAGGGAGGGAAAACUGGGGCAGAAACCCUCAUGUAAUAUGACAUGCCUUCCAGGGAGCGUAUUUGGUAGAACUUCCCUGUGCGAUGCUAAGCUCGUCACCCCUCAUGGGCUGCUCAAGCCAGACACUCUAAUCCUGUGCAAUGAACCAAGGUUCUAGGAGUGCAAGAGCUGUCCAGCCGGCGACCUGUUGCUUGAGCAUGGUCAACCAGAUAUCGGCUGACGCUCCUUGUUCAAGGGCUACAAGCGCCUGGGCGAUCACUACUUUAUCCUUUCUUGUUUGAGAUCUCAAUUUGCAAAGCAACCAGAGGAGUAACACUAAUCCACAGCAGAGGAUCACUCCAAAAAGUCCCACUCCCACCCAUUCCUUGAAAUAAGAGACUGCUGAGGUGAUCCAGGACGACAAUCCCUCCAUCAAAGACAGGUCCAGUCAGGUAGAAAUUACUUGAAUGAUGGUCGCUCUCAGCUCCCGAAGUGUCUGUUCAAACUCCGAGGUCCAAUUCUGUAACAGAUGCUGUGAAAGACUCUUAGACAGAUUAGCAGCUCGGGUAAAUUUGUCAUAUUAUAUGGAGGUGACACAAAGGCCUGGGAGUUUUUGCUCACAGCCAAGCUGGGCCAGUUGCCAUAGAAUGUCUAAUUGCUCUCGGACCAGAUCUAUACGUUGGUUGACAAGCAUAAGGCCUCCCUAUGUCUGAGUAUUGGCCGAGGCCUGUCUGUCCCGAGACACCAGAGAUGGUGGCCGAUAAAUCAUUGAUAGUUUGGGUUGUCUGUACUGAAUUUGACAAGGCCAAUGCCGAGGCAGUAACCGAGGCAGCGACUGCUGUCGUAGCAAUAAUGCCAGCAAUAAUUGCAGAAGUACCAAAAUCUCUUUUUCCUCUAAAUAAGGUCAUGGUCCCCGAGGUAUCAACAGGGAUCGGGAUAAAGCGCGGCAUGCGGGUAACUACUGCGAUAUUUUAUAUGAGUAGCUGUCCAGACAGAGGCAGCAGGUUUGAUGUUCCCCGUCCAGGAAAAUGACAACCGUCCCUUUUCGCCCUUUCCUCCAAGUAGCAUCGCCAUGGGUGUAAGAUCAGUGCAGCUACCAUUAACGCAAUGUAAGGCCACCACCAUAGAGAACUGUGGUGUUAGCCACAAUGUCCUCCUCAACAGUUCCCCAUGUGGCCUCCCUUAACCAAGCAGAAGAUUGAUUAUAUAACAUAAUGCAAGGGAGAUCAAAAGAUGUUUUGUUGAAUAUGCCAAAACAAAGGCUGCCCUUAAGGGGAAUAGUCCUAUUUUCUUUUAGUCGUUCAACCUGUGGAUCCUUAGGUAAAUAGGCCAACCCUAAAUCCCUGUUAGUGGUACAUCACCGGCAUCGGGAGUGGAAAGGUUGACAUUACUCCCCAUCGUAGCUCGCCCUGCACCGUUGCUGGCAUCCAUGGAAGAAGAGUGAGGAGGUGCAGGAGUCCCAGUCCCUUCUUGAUCACUUGCUGUGAUGCUCUGAGUAAGUCGUCCUGGGAUCCAUAUGGGAUUUUCAUUGUCCUGUGGAAAAACACAGACAGCUCCCCUGGAUCUUAUUAAAACAGGAUCCGAUCCGGGCCUUUCCAUUCAUUUGUUAAUACAUCCUUCCAUUUGACUAAUUCUUUUGUCCUCUUGGGCUCUGAGCAAUGUGGCUCAGCCGUUGUUUGUCCAGCUUCAUCAAGAUUUAAAAAAUUUAAGGUAAAAAGGGCCAGAGCAGUGGCCACUCGGGGUGUUGGGGGGAGUUCUAUCAUAAUUCCCCUUCUUUGUUUUAUUAAAUAUGAUUUGAGCGUCCGAUGAGCACGCUCUAUGAUUCCCUGUCCUUGAGGGUUGUAGGGCAGGCCCAUCAGGUGGGUAACCUGCACCUGAGCACAAAACUGACGGAAUUUUUGAGAUGUGUAGGCGGGGCCAUUGUCAGUUUUUACACAUUUUGGCUUUCCCCAAGCACUCCAUGCUUCAAGGCAGUGCUGAAUGACAUGUGUUGUUUUUUCUCCUGUAAGUGGGGUGGCAUGUAGAAUGCCAGAACAUGUGUCUAUAGAUACAUGCACAUACUGUAAUUUUCCAAAAGUAGAAUUAUGAGUAACAUCCAUUUGCAAGAUUUGCAAGGGCUGUAUUCCUCUCGGGUUGACCCCGAUGUGAGGACCUGGGAGGAACUGGCAGCACUGUUGGCAUUGGGUGACUAUAUCACGUGUCUCUUUUCUAGUUAUAGAGAAGCGGCGGUGUAAAGUUUCUGAGGUGACAUGGAAAUUGCCAUGAAAGGCUUUAGCGGCCUCUAAAGGAGAGGCCAGGGCCACAGCUAUCAUUUUUGUGGCUUUGUCAACCAAAUCAUUCUCUGAACUCAUUGGGCCAGGGAGUCCAGAAUGGGCCCGUAUAUGAAUAAUGUAUACAGGGAAUCUUCUAUUUAAUAGGAUAAUUUGGAUUUUUCGGAAAAUAUCUGCCACCUUACUAGUGGUUUUAAUUAUACCGGCGGUUUCAAGAAUACUAACAGCAUUAACCACAUAGGAGGAAUCUGAAACAAUAUUUAGAGGAACCUGGAAUUUUUCAAUGACCUCCAUGACCACUAGGCAUUCUACCACUUGGGGUGAGGUUUCAAAAUAUUGUCGAGAGAAUACUUGGGAGUUUACCACAUAUGCUCCCACCCCUGUUUUUGACCCAUCCGUAUACACCGUUAUCCCCUCCUUUAAUGGUUUGUGGGAUGUGAUGCGAGGGAAAACAAUAGGUUGUGAUCUUGCGAAACACAAUAGGGGGUGUUUAGGAUAAUGAUUAUCUAUCUUCCCUGUAAAGGAUGUGAGCAGCACUGCCCAAUCAUCAGAGGUAGCGGCUAGAGUUUGGACUUGGUAGGGUGUAUAUGGGAUAAUCAAGGAUUGGGGUGGAGUCCCAAAGUGACAGAUGGCAGCUUUUAGGCCCUUAAUAGCCAGAUGUGCUACUGCGGUUGGAUACCAAUCAAUAAUCUUCACAGGGGAAGCAUGUGGAUGGAUCCAUAACAGUGGACCUUGUUGCCAUAAAACGGCAGUGGGUAAAUCCUUGGUAUCUAGUACACAGAGUGAAAAAGGUAGAGACCAAUCAAUGUGUUGCAAUUGGGCCUGUUUUAUGGCAUCUUCUACUUUUAGUAAGGCCUUGGUUGCAGCGGGAGUUAGCACACGAGGGGAGGUGAUGUGGCCGUCCCCUUCCAAUAUUUCGAACAAAGGUUUUAAUUCCGCGGAAGGGAUUUUCAAAAAUGGUCUCAACCAGUUGAUAUCUCCCAAGAGCUUCUGAAAGUCAUUAAGAGUAUGGAGGUGGUCUCUACGGAUUUCCAGUUUCUGGGGUAUAAUCUUAUCAGGGAAAAUAAUGGAUCCUAGAAAAUGGCCUGUGUCAGCAAUUUGGACCUUUUCUGUAGCAAUAUGUAAGUCCCAUUGUUUAAGGGUUUUUUUGUAAUAAGGAAUAGGCUUGUUUGAGGAAUUCUAAGUCUUUAUGACACAUCAAUAUAUCAUCCAUGUAAUGGAUUAACAGUAAAUUUGGAUAGGUCUCCCUGACUGGUUUGAGGGCUUCCUGAACAUAUAACUGACACAUCGUAGGGCUGUUGGCCAUGCCCUGAGGUAGGACCUUCCACUGGUAUCUUUUAUCAGGUUCAAUAUGAUUAAUUGAUGGGAGAGUAAAAGCAAACCUGGGCCUAUCUGGGGGGUAAAGAGGAAUAGAGAAAAAACAAUCCUUGAUAUCUAUUAUUACCAAAUUCCAAUCUUUUUGUAGGGCCGAGAGUAUAGGAAGGCCCCGCUGAAUGGGUCCAAGGGAUUCCAUCUGAUCGUUAAUGGCCCUCAAGUCAUGGAGUAGUCGCCAUUUUCCUGAUUUUUUCCUUAUUACAAAAAUUGGGGUGUUCCAAGGAGAGGUAGAGGGCUCCAAAUGUCCCAAUCUUAAUUGUUCAUCCACCAGUCCUGUAGCUGCCUGUAAUUUCUCAGAGGUUAAUGGCCAUUGGGGAACCCACACCGUGUCCUCCGUCCUCCAUGGUAUGGGUCGUGCUGCCCCAAUGGCGCCUAGGAAAAACCCAGGCCUUGUUUAUGGGGGUUGGCAAUCGGUUCAAUGGGCGUGAGACAACCCUGUUCUAAUCGCCCUAGGCCUUUCCCUUCCUUAUAGCCCAUCCUUGACAUCAUGUGGGCCACUUGUGGGGGGUAUUCAUUAGAUAAGGUCAGUCCCAUGGUCUGCAUAACAUCCCUCCCCCAAAGAUUAACUGGCAGGGGAAGUACAUAAGGAAUAAAUUGUCCCUGUCGGCCAUCGGCAGUUGUCCAAGUUAGAGUGGCAGAGCUGAUCAUAGGGCAUGACUGGUAGCCUAAUCCUUGUAGUGAGUGAGAAGAUUUUGUGGUAGGCCAUGAUUGAGGCCACCAUUUUGAGGAAAUUAUACUUUUAUCAGCCCCAGUAUCCAGUAUGCCUUCGAAUUUCUUUCCAUUAAUUUCUAAGCUCAAUUUUGGGCGGUUGUUAAGGUGAACCACCAAAUAUGCCGAAUCAUGACCAGUGGACCCCAUGGGUCCCUUGGUAUCUUGUAUCGUGGCCUGGAAGCACAGAAGGAGUAAUAACUGUGCUAUUCUAUCUCCUUUACUUAUGGAAAAAACCCCAUCGGGACUUGAACAAAGAAUCUGAAUAUCAAGAGAGCGCUGAGCUUCAACAAGGCCUGGAUGGACUAUCAGUCCUUGUAGGGCAAGAGAUCCUCUCCCAAGGACAAGGCCUAUGGUUCCCGGGGGUAGAGGCCCCACAGUCUGAGCAGGAAUUGGCUGAAUGCCCAUCUGGGGCAUUAGAAAGAAGUCUGAGGCGGCACGCAGGUCCAAUUUUGUGUCGCCUCUUGGGGGACCUCCUCUGCCGGGGUCGUGGCCCUGUGAAAGCGGUUCCCAUAUCUUUGAGGGCCCUGGGACCGGGGGCCCACCAGCCCGUUUUUUGACAUCUCAUUAGGUCGAGUCUCCAAAGGAGGGAGUAGUUUGCCUUUAAUGUCUCUCACUGAUUGGCACUGGUCAGCCCUAUGGUAGCCUUUGCCACAUCGGACACAGAGGGUUGCAGACCCCCUGUCUCUUUUUGUCAUCCUGCAGUCUCUUUUUAGAUGGCCUGUUUUCCCACAUUGAAAGCAUGAUCUUUUAUCCGUCCCUUUAACGGGGCGUUGCUGGAACUGGAGAAUGGCAGCCGCCAGGCCUGAGUUAGUAAGGGGCCCUCCAAGUUCCCUGCAAACUCUAAGCCAAUCCUGUAGCCCUUUAUUUCCUCGGGGGGGCUAUGGCUGUUUGGCACUCCUGGGUGGCUUGCUCGAAAACGAGCUGUUCUAUUAGUGGUGCUGCUUGUUCAGGAUCGCCAAAGAUUCGUCCUGCAGCCGCUGUCAUUCUAGCUACAAAAUCUGAGAAAUUUUCCUGGGGUCCCUGAACGAUUUUUGUAAGUUGAUUAUCAAUCCCUCCUCUCCUGGACAGUGCCUUCCAGGCUCUAAUAGCUGUGCUGGAGACCUGAGCAUAGGCGCCCCAGUGGUAAGCAGACUGAUCAGCUGCAAAGCGGCCCUGUCCUGUUAAGAGUUCGAAAGUCCAUUCUUGUUGCUCAGGUAUUAAGGCCGUAGCAUUUGCUCUGGCCUGUGUUUGGGCUGCCUCAUACCAGAGCGCUUUCCAUUCAUGUAUUAGCCCAUGCUGGCAAGGGCUGCCUUAGCAAUCAUCUGCCAAUCAGCUGGUGUCAAUGCUGUCAUGGCCAACCUGUCGAGUUGUGUUAGAGUAAAGUUGGCCGUGACUCCAUACUUUCUAACUGAUUCCGCUAAUUCCUUAAUCUGAUUAUAUUCAACAGGGGCAUGGACCCGUCCUCCCUCCGGAGUCUCAAAGAUAGGAAAUGUCAUACUCAGCUUUCUUUUCACCCUCUCGGGGACUAGUGAGAAGGCGCGUGAGCGUGUCUCAUAUGGAGGAGGCGCCGUUGGUGGCGGCCGCGCUAGAAGGCUUCUAUUACUUCCCCUACAUUCAUCUGGGUAAUAUCUUUCCUCCUCAUAUUUAGCUGCUUCCUCAUCUAGCUCAGCCUCCUCCUCUGAGUCUAAGGUUUCAUUUUCAGAGCUUUCAGAAAUGUCGAGGUUCAGCGCUUCUAGCUCUUUCACAGGGUAUAGGCUGGCUCCCCCUCCUGGUUUAUGUGUAGAGGAGGAAGUAUUGGAAUCUGAAAAUUUCAACGCUCCCUUGUCUUUGGACUUACCGGGAGGGCACUUUUUCUUUCUUAGGACGUCUUUUUUCUUGCGCGCGCCCAACCUCUCACUACGUUCAGUUUCUGACAGACUUUCCCGGACUACCUCGAGAGUGGCCUGUCCUUCUACUACUGCUGCCUUACACGUUUCAUCCUUUAAACAAUUCUUAACCAGCUUCCAUAUAGCUUUGGUCCCUAGGCACAGAUCCUCUUCCGCCAAUUUUCUGUCAAGGUCUUUUCCAAGUUUGUUCCAUGAGGCAAUCGUAAACGAGCCUGAACAGGCAAACCAAGGCGCCACCCUCUCCACCUCCUUCACAAAGUUUUUAAGUGUUCCUCCUCCAAUUUUGAUGUUCCUCUGCUUUAACACUGUUUCCAAGGCUGUGACCACAGACUGUGAGGAUCCCAUGAUGGGCCAGGAACGCCGGCGGCUUACCUACGUCCGUCUGACAAGGCGUGAGGUGAAAGGGUAGAGACGGACACGCUGCUCUCUUAUGUACGGGAGUCUUACACGCGCCUCCCCAGAUGGUGCCGCUUAUGUACGUCGGCCUUAUCGCGUCCUUGUUAAAAGGGAGCUGCGCGAAGCUCACUUAUAUACGAGAGACUGAGACGCGCCUUCAGCUGCUGUGAUCGUCCUUUUAACAGCGAAAACGGUGAAAACAGAACACAAAGAGUAGGGUGGCUCCCAGGACAAAUACUAUAGCCUCAACAAAUCCUUCCCAAGGCGGUGACAACCCCAGACCAAAGUCCAAGGGAGGGCUGCCUCUCCGAACGUAUCUACCUGCAGUUCUGAAUCCUCCUUGUCGCCAAGGGAUCUCCGAAGGUGCUGACGAUGGUGAGGUCUUUCCCGGGUUUUUGGCACCAGAUGUCCCGCGCUUCGUCUUGCCAGCAGGAACGACACGGCACACACAGGAUCCUACUACAGAAAAGCUUUAAUGCGUCUUGAGAGGGAGAGCAUAAGCUUACAAUGUGGAGACGGAGAGUGAGGAAUAACCGUCCCUUAUAUAGGAAACUAUCCUCGCCUAGGACGUGUCACUCUCUGACUGGUCGCCGCCAAUUAUGCCAGAUGACGUACCAAAACGUACGUGUCCCUUUGAGUAGGGACAUUACCAGGCGCCUGCGUAUUGCCCUUUUUACUAGGUGCGUUCUGCCGGAUGCUGGUGCCAUCUUGUAAUGGAGUUUGUGAGGACAGCUCCUCACAUAUGUGAGAACAGCUCCUCGGACAGCUCCUCACAUCUCUGUGAGGACAGCUCCUCGGACAGCUCCUCACAGUUCAUAACUUCUUUUGAUUUUUCAGUGCCCAUGUUUAGUUUCUCUUUCCAUGAUCUGUCUACUGCUGAGAGAGGCAUGUUGAAGUCUCCCAGUAUUAUUAUGUGAGGUGCAAUGUGUGUUUUAGCUUUAGUAAUGUUUGUUUUUGAAUGUAGUUGCCCUUGCGUUUGCAUCAUAGUUAUUCAGGACUGGGAAUUCAUCUUGGUGUCAAUUUUUUGAUGAAUAUGAAGUGUCCCUCCUUACCUUUUUUGAUAAGUUUUAGGUGAAAACCAAUUUUAAUCUAUAUUAGAAUGGCUACUUCAGAUUUUUUCUUGGGAUCAUUAGCUUGGAAAUAUUUUUUCUCCAUCUUUAGUAAAUUGGGUAUUUUUAUUUACAUUAUAAUUGUUAUUACUUUCCCGGUUUCCAGGCCAAAAUCCCCCUAACUCCUCCCCUUCCCCUUUUAUAAGGGUGUUCCCCUCCCCAUCCUUCCUCCAUUGUCACCCUCCUUUCAACAAUACCAUUCACUGAGGGUUCAGUCUUGGCAGGACCAAGGGUUUCCGUUCCACUGGUGCCCUUAGUAGGCUAUUUAUUGCUAUCGAUGCAGUUGGAGCCCAGGGUCAGUCCAUGUAUCAUCUUUGGGUAGUGGCUUAGUCCCUGGAAGCUGUGGUUGGUUGGCAUUGUUGUUCUUAUGGGGUCUCAAGCCUCUUCAAGUUCUAAAAGUCCUUUCUCUGAUUCCUUCCAUGCGGGUCCCAUUCUCAGUUCAGUGGUUUGCUGCAGGCAUUCACCUAUGUAUUUGCUGUAUUCUGGUUGUGUCUCUCAGGAGAGAUCUACAUCUGUUUCUUGUCAGCUUGCACUUCUUUGCUUAAUCCAUCUUAUAUAGUUUGGUGGCUGUAUAUGUAUGGGCCACAUAUGAGGCAGGCUCUGAAUGGGUGUUCCUUCAGCAUCUGUUCUAAACUUUCCCUCUUUAUUCCCUCCUAAAGGUAUUCAUGUUCUCCUUUUAAAGAAGGAGUGAAGCAUUCCCAUUUUGGGGAUCCUUCUUGAAUUUCAUGUGUUCUGUUUACCUAGGGUAAUUCGAGCAUUUGGGCUAAUAUCCACUUAUCAUUGAGUGCAUACCAUGUGUAUUUUUCUGUAAUUGUGUUACCUCACACAGGAUGGUAUUUUCCAGUUCCACCCAUUUGCCUAUGAAUUUGCGGAAGUCAUUGUUUUUGAUACCUGAGUAAUAUUCCAUUGUGUAGAUUUACAGCAUUUUCUAUAUCCAUUUCUCUGUUGAAGGGCAUCUGGAUUCUUUCUACCUUCUGGCUCUUAUAAAUAAAGCUGCUCUGAACAUAGUGGAGUAUGUGUAUUUAUUAUUUCUGGGGGCAUCUUUUGGGUAUAUGCCCAAGAGAGGUAUAGCUGGGUCCUCAUGUAGUUCAAUGUACAAUUUUCUGAGGAACCUCCAGACUGAUUUCCAGAACAGUUGUAUCAGUCUGCAAUCCCACCAACAAUGGUGUGUUCCUCUUUCUCCACUUCCUUCCUAGCAUCUGAUGUAGCUGGAGUUUUUGAUUUUAACAAUUCUGAAUGGCAUGAGUAGGAAUCUCAGGGUUGUUUUGAUUUGCAUUUCCCUUAUGACUAAAGAUGUUGAACAUUUCUUUAGGUGUUUCUCAGACAUUUGGCAUUCAUCAGCUGUGAAUUCUUUGCUUAGCUUUGAACCCCAUUUUUAAUAAGGUUAUUUGUCUCCCUGCAGUUUAACUUCUUGAGUUCUUCGUAUAUUUUGGAUAUAAGUUCUCUAUCAGUUGUAGGAUUGAUAGACUUCUUUUCCCAUUCUGUUGGUUGUUGUUUUGUCCUAAAAACAGUGUCCUUUGCCUUACAGAAACUUUGCAGUUUUAUGAAAUCCCACUUUUCAGUUCUUGAUCUUAGUGCAUAAGCCAUUGGCGUUUUGUUCGAGAAAUGUUCUCCAGUGCCCAUGUGUUCAAGGUUCUUCCCCAAUUUUUCUUCUAUUAGUUUGAGUGUAUCUGGUUUGUUGUGGAGGUCCUUGUUCCACGUGGAAUUAAACUUUGUACAGGGUGAUAAGAAUGGGUCGAUCUCCCACACCCGCGGAUCCCGGCCCGCAGCAGCUCUCUGCUCCCAGACCCGGUGAGAGAGAGACCCAACCGCCUGGUCAGGUGGGCACUCCUGAGGCUGCAGAGCGGAAGAGACCACCAACACUGCUCACCCCUGCCCACAUCCCUGGCCCAAGAGGAAACUGUAUAAGGCCUCUGGGCUCCCGUGGGGGAGGGCCCAGGAGCGGCAGGACUUCUGCGCCUGAGACACCACCGGAACCUGAAAGAAACAGAUCGGAUAAACAGUUCUCUGCACCCAAAUCCCGUGGGAGGGAGAGCUAAACCUUCAGAGAGGCAGACAAGCCUGGGAAACCAGAAGAGACUGCUCCCUGCACACACAUCUCGGACGCCAGAGGAAAAAGCCAAAGACCAUCUGGAACCCUGGUGCACUGAAGCUCCCGGAAGGGGCGGCACAGGUCUUCCUGGUUGCUGCCGCUGCAGAGAGCCCCUGGGCAGCACCCCACGAGCGAACCGGAGCCUCGGGACCACAGGUAAGACCAAAUUUUCUGCUGCAAGAAAGCUGCCUGGUGAGCUUGGGACACGGAAGCAGAAUUUCUCUAGGAGGCACGGUCUGUGUUUACCGGAAGUCCCACACCCGCGGAUCCCGGCCCGCAGCAGCUCUCUGCUCCCAGACCCGGUGAGAGAGAGACCCAACCGCCUGGUCAGGUGGGCACUCCUGAGGCUGCAGAGCGGAAGAGACCACCAACACUGCUCACCCCUGCCCACAUCCCUGGCCCAAGAGGAAACUGUAUAAGGCCUCUGGGCUCCCGUGGGGGAGGGCCCAGGAGCGGCAGGACUUCUGCGCCUGAGACACCGCCGGAACCUGAAAGAAACAGACCGGAUAAACAGUUCUCUGCACCCAAAUCCCGUGGGAGGGAGAGCUAAACCUUCAGAGAGGCAGACAAGCCUGGGAAACCAGAAGAGACUGCUCCCUGCACACACAUCUCGGACGCCAGAGGAAAAAGCCAAAGACCAUCUGGAACCCUGGUGCACUGAAGCUCCCGGAAGGGGCGGCACAGGUCUUCCUGGUUGCUGCCGCUGCAGAGAGCCCCUGGGCAGCACCCCACGAGCGAACCUGAGCCUCGGGACCACAGGUAAGACCAAAUUUUCUGCUGCAAGAAAGCUGCCCGGUGAACUCAAGACACAGGCCCACAGGAACAGCUGAAGACCUGUAGAGAGGAAAAACUACUGAAAGACCCCAGCUUAGCAGCAGUAACGCCAUUUUGCAAGGCUGUACUUAAGAUGACUGGUUCAGGGAAAGGUUAGAACACUGAGUACACAGCGGCUGCCAAGCAGGAUGUGUUUGGUUGAAGGCCUAGCAACAGGACGACUUCGGUUGAGCACCUGACAAUGAAAAAAAGCCCCAGGAGAGGUCCCACACCCUGGUGGGGGGCCGAGUCAGUCGUUAUGUUCCAAGAAGGUAGCUAAGAAACUUGCCCCCGGGCUGAACCCUUGGGGGGCCGAGUCAGCCGUUAUGUUUCUGGAAGGUAGCUAGGAAACUUGCCCCCGGGCUAAACCCUUGCCAUAUUAGAAUCCACCAAUUAUAUCCCUGUAACCAUGCAUCUGCUUCUGUAUGCUUGCUUCUGCUCCCCAAAAUCCUAUAAAAGCCCAUCCUUGGUUCUGUGGGGCGCGCCAGUCCCCCGAGUGACUGAAGCGCCUGCAGGUGCCUGUGCCUGUGUAUCCCGACAAUAAACCAAAUCCUCUUGCUGAUUGCAUCCUGUGGUGUCUCGGUCUGGUCUUUGGAGUUGGAGGGUCUCCAUCCCGAGGGAAAGUUCUCCCUGAGAGCUUUUCAUUUGGUGCGUUGGCCGGGAAAGGAGAUCCUCCACCCAGGGACCACCGACCACCCACUGGGAGGUAAGCCGGCCGGCGUCUGUCUGUCUGUCUGAUUUUGUCUCGUUCUGCCUUAUUCUGUCUGUUCUGUGAGCGCUCAGCCAAGUCUGUUCUGUGAGCGCUCAGCCAGGUCUGUUCUGUGAGCGCUCAGCCAGGUCUGUUCUGUGAGUGCUCAGCCAGGUUCUGUGAGCGCUCAGCCAGGUCUGUUCUGUGAGCGCUCAGCCAGGUUGUUUGGAAUUUGGGCGGGACGAAGAAGGAACUGACGAGCUCGGACUUCUCGCCCCGCAGCCCUGGAAGACGUUCCAAGGGUGUUAGGGGCCCGACUUUUCGGGGCCCAAUCUGGGAGAGGAGAAAGAUCCGGACUAACGGCACUCUGUCUGUAUUUUUGGCUUUCAGAGGGCCCCGGACCUUUGCCACCUCCAUCUGACUUUUUGCUUUCAGUUUGGUACCAAAGCCGUGUAGCACGCCUGUCUGUUGUUUGUUUGACUGUUGGUGUUGUUUGUUUUCUCUGUGUCCUAAUCUUCCUUAGAACUAACAUGGGACAGUCCCUAACAAUGCCCCUAAGUCUCACUCUUGAUCAUUGGGAAGACGUCCACGACCAGGCACACAACCAGUCCGUCGAGGUUAAAAAAAAAAAAGGAAAAGGGCAGACUCUCUACACAUCCGAGUGGCCCACUUUCGGAGCAGGAUGGCCAGUGAAUGACACAUUUAAUAAGAUCAUUAUUUUACAGGUUAAAGAUCGGGUCGUCCACGGACAUCCUGACCAGGUUUCUUAUAUUAUCACUUGAGAGAGUCUCGCCUUAAAACCCCCCUCCUGGGCGGAACCCUUCGUGGACCCGAAUUGGCCUCCCCUCAACCCCCAGCCUGUCCCCUCGGCCCCGCCCGGUCUGCCGGCCACGUCUUAAGAAACCUGUCCUCCCGGCAGACCCAAACUCCCCUCUCAUAGAUCUUCUCUCUGACAGGGCCGGCUGAAACGGAGGAGGCAGAGCCGCCGGCCAGAUCAUUGCCGGGCCACAGUCUGAUAAGGGUUUCUCCCCUGUCGCAGGGAGAUUGCGCAAUAAGCGCGAGGUGAUGCCAGAUACAACCUCCCAGGCUUUCCCACUUAGACAGGGAACCAGUGGCCAGACCCAAUACUGGCCGUUUUCAGCAGCUGACAGCUGACAUUUACAAUUGGAAACAACACAACCCUUCUUUCUCCAAAGAUCCGGUGGCACUCACCGACCUAAUAGAAUCUGUUUUACUUACCCACCAGCCUACUUGGGAUGACUGCCAACAGCUCUUACAGGCCCUCUUAACCUCAGAAAAAAAAAACAAAGAGUGAUCCUAGAGGCCAAAAAGCAUGUUCUGGGAGAUGAUGGGCGUCCCACCCAGCUGCCUGAGGACCAAACUGGGAUUUUAAUACAGCUGAAGGUAAGGGACACCUACGCCUUUAUCGCCAGUUGCUUCUAGCGGGUCUCCGAGGGGCUAUACGACGCCCUACUAAUUUGGCUCAGGUAAAACAGGUAUUACAGGAAGCAGGGGAAACUCCCUCCGCCUUUCUAGAGAGACUUAAGGAGGCCUACCGUAUGUACACUCCCUAUGACCCAGAUGACCCAGGACAAAUGACGAGUGUCUCUAUGUCCUUCAUCUGGCAGGCUGCUCCAGAUAUCAGGACUAAGUUACAGAGGUUAGAAAAUUUGCAGGGCUAUACAUUACAGGAUUUACUUAAAGAAGCUGAAAAGAUUUUUAAUAAGAGAGAGAAUUGAGUCGAAUCUUGGCCGCCGUAGUUCAGAGCCAAGAAAGGAAGGGAGAUAGGGGGGAGCUCGAAAGGGGCUGAAGCUGGAUAAAGAUCAAUGUGCCUAUUACAAAGAGAAAGGGCACUGGGCUAGAGAGUGCCCCAAGAAGCCUGGCGGACCCCGAAAGCCUCGACCACGAACCUCCCUCUUGGCUCUAGAUAAAGAUUAGGGAGGUCAGGGCCAGGAGCCCCCCCCUGAGCCCAGGGUAACGCUUAAAGUUGGGGGGCAGCCGGUUACUUUCCUGGUAGACACAGGAGCCCAGCAUUCAGUCCUCACCCAAGCUUCAGGACAACUCAGCGACCGGACGGCCUGGGUACAAAGAGCUACUGGUGAGAAACAAUACCGAUGGACUACGGACCGCCGGGUUCAGCUGGCUACUGGUAAGGUGACCCAUUCCUUCUUACAUGUUCCAGACUGCCCGUACCCUCUGCUGGGCCGUGAUCUGCUCACCAAACUAAAAGCACAAAUUCAUUUUGAGGAAGGAGGGGCCCAAAUAACUGGCCCCCACGGAACUCCCCUUCAAGUUCUAACCCUAUGAACCGGGACAGGACACUGGCUUGGGCAGAGACUGGUGGGAUGGGGUUGGCGCUCCAACAGCCCCCAUACAACUCCAGUCUCCAUAAAACAAUACCCCCUGUCACAUGAAGCUUAUCAAGGUAUAAGGCCUCACAUUACGAGGCUUCUAGAUCAAGGCAUCCUAAUCCCCUGCCGGUCGCCUUGGAAUACGCCUCUUCUGCCUGUUAAGAAACCCGGCACUGGAGAUUAUAGGCCAGUACAAGACUUGAGAAAGGUCAACAAGAGGAUAGAAGAUAUUCAUCCGACUGUUCCAAACCCUUACAAUUUGCUCAGUAACUGUUCAUCGAUGAGAAACAGGGGUAUGCUAAAGGGGUCCUAACACAAAGGUUGGGACUCUGAAAACGCCCUGUGGCCUACCUGUCUAAGAAAUUGGACCCUGUGGCCUCCGGCUGGCCACCGUGCCUAAAGAUGGUGGCUGCUAUUGCUGUCCUGAUCAAGGACGCUGGAAAAUUGACUUUGGGACAGCCACUCACCAUCCUAGCACCCCACGCAGUGGAGGCCUUGGUAAAGCAGCCCCCAGACCGCUGGCUCUCUAAUUCUCACACCAAGCCUUGUUACUGGAUGCAGAACGGGUUCAGUUUGGGCCCGUAGUCGCCCUCAAUCCUGCCACCUUGCUUCCUCUACCAGAGGAGGCAAAACAGCAUGACUGCCUACAAAUCCUCGCAGAAGUACAUGGAACCAGGCCGGACCUAUCGGACCAGCCUCUUCAGAAUGCUGACCACACAUGGUACACGGAUGACAACAGCUUCUUGGCAGAGGGAGAGUGAAAGGCUGGAGCUGCGGUCACUACGGAGGACAAAGUGAUUUGGGCGAAAGCCCUGCCUGCUGGUACCUCCGCACAACGGGCUGAACUCAUCGCCUUGACUCAGGCGUUCAAGAUGACAAAAGGUAAGAGGCUAAAUAUAUAUACAGACAGCCGUUAUGCCUUUGCCACGGCACACAUCCACGGGGAGAUCUACCGGAGGCGGGGGCUGCUCACAUCUGAGGGUAAAGAUAUGGCUAAAAUUCUGGCCCUCUUAGAAGCCCUAUUCUUGCCCAAAAGACUGAGUACAUUGUCCAGGACACCAGAAAGGGCACAACCCAGAGGCACGAAGAAACCGGCUGGCCGAUGCCACGGCGCGAAAAGCGGCCAUGAGCAAACAAAUCUUGCCCUUAAAUAGCCCAGACCAACCCACGCCCCCACCAGUGGGACAAACCAGUUGGGUUUAUGCCCAUGAGGACAUAGAGCUCCUAAAAAAAUGGGGGCCAUCUACCACCCUCAACUAAAACAGUGGGUCUACAAAGGACUUUUGAAUUGAUCUCCUUUUUACAUAAGAAGAUAAAAACCUUACUAGAUCGAGAAGAGAUAAAUCUGUUUUUUUUUUAAUUGGGACAAAGCGAUACAAAAGGUGACUGAGAGUUACAAAGCGUGUGCUCAGGUUAACCUGGGAAGGACCAUGAUUGGACAAGGAGUUCGUCCUAGGGGACACCGUCCCGACAUCCAUUGGGAAAUUGAUUUUACUGAAAUUAAACCAGGUAUAUAUGGAUACAAGUAUCUCCUAGUGUUUAUAGACACCUUCUCAGGAUGGGUCAAAGCCUUCCCCACGAAGCACGAGACUACAAAAAUGGUCACCAAGAAGCUCCUCGAGGAAAUCUUUCCCAGGUAUGACAUGCCUCAAGCGUUGAGGUCAGACAACGGGCCCGCUUUCGUCUCCCAAGUAAGUCAGUUGGUGGCCAAAUUGCUGGGGAUUGAUUGGAAAUUACAUUGUGCCUAUAGACCCCAGAGUUCAGGUCAGGUAGAACACAUGAAUAGAACAAUUAAGGAGACUUUAUCCAAACAUACGCUUGCAACUGGCUCAAAGGAUUGGGUGGCCCUCCUUCCCCUAGUUCUAUAUCGGGCCCGGAAUACCCCGGGCCCCCAUGGUCUAAUUCCUUUUGAAAUAAUAUAUAGAACACCACCCCCAUUUGUCCAUUUCUUUGAUUCAAACAUUGCUGAUUUUGCUGACAGCCCUUCUCUGAGGGCCCAUUUACAGGCCCUACAGAUUGUGCAGAGAGACGUCUGGAGACCUUUGGCCGCUGCUUACCAGGACAAGCUUGAACAUCCGGUGGUGCCACACCUGUUCCAGAUUGGAGACACCGUGUGGGUGCACAGACACCAGACCAAGAAUCUCGAGCCACGGUGGAAAGGACCCUACACCGUCCUCCUGACUACCCUGACCGCCCUAAAGGUAGACGGAGUCUCGGCUUAGAUCCACGCACCACACCUCAAGGCAGUCCGGUCUGAGGAAUUGACUAAUCACAACACUACACCCCAGACAUGGAGAGUUCAGCGCACUCCAAACCCCUUAAAGUUAAAACUCCUACGUGGCUCCUCCUAGCCCUUUUGUGGCCUAGAGUCAGUGGGGGAAUAAGCCCCCACCAGACAGAAAUUUCUUGACCAAGUCGAGUGAAAGAUUUCACUCAAAGUUAACAAAAAAAAUGGGGGAAUGAAAGACCCCAGCUUAGCAGCAGUAACGCCAUUUUGCAAGGCUGUACUUAAGAUGACUGGUUCAGGGAAAGGUUAGAACACUGAGUACACAGCGGCUGCCAAGCAGGAUGUGUUUGGUUGAAGGCCUGGCAACAGGACGACUUCGGUUGAGCACCUGACAAUGAAAAAAAGCCCCAGGAGAGGUCCCACACCCUGGUGGGGGGCCGAGUCAGUCUUUAUGUUCCAAGAAGGUAGCUAAGAAACUUGCCCCCGGGCUGAACCCUUGGGGGGCCGAGUCAGCCGUUAUGUUUCUGGAAGGUAGCUAGGAAACUUGCCCCCGGGCUAAACCCUUGCCAUAUUAGAAUCCACCAAUUAUAUCCCUGUAACCAUGCAUCUGCUUCUGUAUGCUUGUUUCUGCUCCCCAAAAUCCUAUAAAAGCCCAUCCUUGGUUCUGUGGGGCGCGCCAGUCCCCCGAGUGACUGAAGCGCCCGCAGGUGCCUGUGCCUGUGUAUCCCGACAAUAAACAAAAUCCUCUUGCUGAUUGCA